rnacentral:lncRNA from 1 species
UCGUAGAUCACCGACGCUAAUGUUCAUGUUCCAAGACUUAAUAGGCCAAAAAGAUUUGCUCAAACGAAUCAGCAGCUGAUAUUUGUCACCAGAGAGUGUAGGGACAACGCCAAAUCAAGUGGUAGGUGAGGAAGAAAGGAAGGAAGAUGAACAUGGCAAAAAUAUUGAGGAGAGAGAGACAUUGCCACCACGUAGAGUUGUCGGGUGAUUACAUUAAACAAACCUAUAGUUUAUGAUUAGUGUUAAUGAUGUUUUUGAUUAUUUAUUAAUCGUGAUUUACGGUUUGACAUUCUUUAUGGGC